rnacentral:rRNA from 2 species
GCGAACGGGUGAGUAACACGUGGGCAAUCUGCCCUUCACUCUGGGACAAGCCCUGGAAACGGGGUCUAAUACCGGAUAACACUCCUGCCCGCAUGGGUGGGGGUUAAAAGCUCCGGCGGUGAAGGAUGAGCCCGCGGCCUAUCAGCUUGUUGGUGAGGUAGUGGCUCACCAAGGCGACGACGGGUAGCCGGCCUGAGAGGGCGACCGGCCACACUGGGACUGAGACACGGCCCAGACUCCUACGGGAGGCAGCAGUGGGGAAUAUUGCACAAUGGGCGAAAGCCUGAUGCAGCGACGCCGCGUGAGGGAUGACGGCCUUCGGGUUGUAAACCUCUUUCAGCAGGGAAGAAGCGAGAGUGACGGUACCUGCAGAAGAAGCGCCGGCUAACUACGUGCCAGCAGCCGCGGUAAUACGUAGGGCGCAAGCGUUGUCCGGAAUUAUUGGGCGUAAAGAGCUCGUAGGCGGCUUGUCACGUCGGGUGUGAAAGCCCGGGGCUUAACCCCGGGUCUGCAUUCGAUACGGGCUAGCUAGAGUGUGGUAGGGGAGAUCGGAAUUCCUGGUGUAGCGGUGAAAUGCGCAGAUAUCAGGAGGAACACCGGUGGCGAAGGCGGAUCUCUGGGCCAUUACUGACGCUGAGGAGCGAAAGCGUGGGGAGCGAACAGGAUUAGAUACCCUGGUAGUCCA